UGAAAUCUCUUGCAGUGUGGCAGGCAUGAAGCUGGGGCUUGGAUGUAUGUUCCUUUGCCAACUCCUUGAGCUGCUGAGUUAAAGACAGAAGGCAGCCUUAUUUGCAGCAGAGAGGUCACUGAGGUAUGAGCCAAGACUCGCAGCCUCUCCUACUUGAAUUGCCACAUCUCUGUCAUCUUGCAGCAAGCCUACAGGGUUUAAUAAUCUCCUAAUGAUCCUCCAAAGAUACCCAGGAAAAGAAUUUUUAACGAUUAAUCUGAAGAUGGACAGUUUUUCCCUAUCCGGGUGGCCUCAAGUCUCGAGCUAUAUAUUAAAUCCAUCUCACAAUGGCAAUUGUAUGAUACGUGGUCUUGGAAUCCUAAGCUCACAAUGCCCCAUGUGUUGUACUCUUAUCACUGAAUCUUUCUGGUUCCUUCCUUUGAAGAUAGGUGCAUUAGCUCUUUUGUAGCACAGAAACAUAAAGAAAAAGAAAAUUGAAAAUAAUACACCUAUAAAUUAUUUUUCUUUGAAAAAGUAUGAACAAGGUCAACCAUAUUCCAUAUGGGAUAGCUAUUCUAGCAUCUUGUAAAUGCAUUUUUCACUUGAAAUUUCAGUUGUCAGUGAAGCAAUGAUCAUUUGAUGGAAGGAGUGACUUUCAGCUUUCCUCACUUUUGCUUUUGCUGUUCGUAAUGACCUUGGAGUAGCAAUAUAAGAUGAUUUACGAUAUACAUAAAUAUUCACAAUUCAUUUUAACUUUGCUUUUUAAAAUGUAUUGCAGUUGAAGAUAUUUCUGAAGCAAGCAAAUGAACUAGCACAAUAAAAACAAUUCAUUGA